rnacentral:tRNA from 1 species
UGGUACGGAAACCUACUAAGUGAUAACUUUCAAAUUCAGAGAAACCCCGGAAUUAAGAAAAGUGGGCAAUCCUGAGCCAAAUCCUGUUUUCUCAAAACAAAGGUUCAGAAAACGAAAAAAAAAAGAAAAGGAUAGGUGCAGAGACUCAAUGGAAGCUAUUCUAACAAAUGGAGUUGACUGCAUUGGUAGAGGAAUCUUUCCAUCAAAACUUCAGAAAGGAUGAAGGAUAAACGUAUCUAUUGAAUAUUAUAUCAAUUAAUGAUGGCCCAAAUCUGUAUCUGUAUUUUUUAAUCUAAAAGGUGGAAGAAUUAGUGUGAAUUGAUUCCACAUUGAAGAAAGAAUCGAAUAUUAAUUCAUCAAAUCAUUCACUCCACAG